UCAGGACGAACGCUGGCGGCGUGCCUAACACAUGCAAGUCGAGCGGGACUUUGCGACAGAUCUGAAGUUUCGGACGGAAGUGAAGAUGUAAAGUUCUAGCGGCGGACGGGUGAGUAACGCGUGAGCAACCUGUCCCUUACAGGGGGAUAACACAGCGAAAGUUGUACUAAUACCGCAUAAGACCACGGAGUCACAUGGCUCAGGGGUCAAAGGAGCAAUCCGGUAAGGGGUGGGCUCGCGUCCGAUUAGAUAGUUGGUGAGGUAACGGCCCACCAAGUCGACGAUCGGUAGCCGACCUGAGAGGGUGAUCGGCCACAUUGGGACUGAGACACGGCCCAAACUCCUACGGGAGGCAGCAGUGGGGAAUAUUGGGCAAUGGGGGGAACCCUGACCCAGCAACGCCGCGUGAGGGAAGAAGGUUUUCGGAUCGUAAACCUCUGUCCUAUGUGAAGAGGAAGAGACGGUAGCAUAGGAGGAAGCCCCGGCUAACUACGUGCCAGCAGCCGC
rnacentral:rRNA from 1 species